rnacentral:tRNA from 1 species
GUGGCUGUGGUGAAGUGGUUAACACGGCGGAUUGUGGCUCCGUUACGCGUGGGUUCGACUCCCACCAGCCACCCCA